CCGAAUAGCCGUGUUUGGGACCUGGGCUCGGGCUUCUUGCGUCCCCGCUAAGAACAUGUCACGGGGCCGAAUCGUCCGUAUUCUCUCAGCUUCAAGCUCCUCUACUUUUCAACCAGGUCACUAGCCCUUGACUCCUCUUAUCAAACUUCCGGAACUGCCACCCCACCAGUGACUCCACAGGCACCAGGGCAUGCAACAGGGCUGGGACAGGAAGGCUCUCUUCUUCACCUCAAGCCUGCUGGGCUAACACUUGCGAUUUUUACUAGAGUUAACUUUGUAAUGUAUGUCUCUGACUCUAGAAUUUCAAGAGAAGUUCCACUUAGUGACUCCUAAGUGGAAGUUCUAAGAUGGCUUCCCAGUGAGGUGAUGAAGAGGUUUGAGCUUUAGAGUGCGGUUGCAAAGCUCUUCUCUGACCUGAACAAUGGCUGUAGCUGUGGACCAACAAAUCCAGACUCCUUCAGUACAAGAUCUCCAAAUAGUUAAACUGGAAGAAGAUUCCCACUGGGAGCAGGAAAUUUCCCUUCAAGGGAAUUACCCUGGACCAGAGACAUCCUGCCAGAGCUUUUGGCAUUUCCGUUACCAAGAAGCAUCACGACCCCGAGAGGCCCUCCUCCAGCUCCAGAAGCUCUGUUGUCAGUGGCUAAGGCCAGAGAAGUGUACAAAAGAGCAGAUCCUGGAGUUGCUGGUCCUAGAACAGUUCCCGACUGUCCUUCUCCAGGAGAUCCAGAUCUGGGUCAGACAGCAGCAUCCGGAGAGUGGAGAGGAGGCAGUGGCCCUGGUGGAAGACUUGCAGAAAGAACCUGGAAGACAGAGGCUGGAGCCUCGGGCGAGGCCGUCCGGCCGCACCCCUCCUGCUCAGCUGCGGUCGCCAUGGCCAAUGACAGCUGCGGGCCCGGCGAGCCGAGCUCGAGCGAGCGAGACCGGCAGUACUGCGAGCUGUGCGGGAAGAUGGAGAACCUGCUGCGCUGCAGCCGCAGCUCCUUCUGCUGCAAGGAGCGCCAGCGCCAGGACUGGAAGAAGCACAAGCUCGUGUGCCAGGGCAGCGAGGGCGCCCUCGGCCACGGAGGGGGCCCUCACCAGGACUCCGGCCCCGCGCCGCCCGCUGCAGCGCCGCCGUCCAGGGACCGGGCCCUGGAGGCCAGGAAGGCAGCGAGGCGCCGGGACAGCGCCUCCGGGGACGCAGCCAAGGCAAAGGCCAAGUCCGCGGCCGACCCCGCGGCGGCCGCGUCCCCGCCUCGCGCGUCCCCGGGCCGGACAAAAGCCAUGGCUGCUUGUUAUCCGGUCAAUGGAACGGGUUAUGUACGUCAUGUUGAUAAUCCAAAUGGAGACGGAAGACGUGUGAAAUGUAUUACAUUACGUUAAAGAACGGGAUGCCAAGGUAAGUGGAGGUAUACUUCGAAUUUUUCUAGAAGGUAAAGCCUAGUUUGCUGACAUUGAACCCAAAUUUGAUAGACUGCUGUUUUUCUGGUCUGACCAUCGCAACCCUCAUGAAGUACAACCAGCAUAUGCUACAAAGUACGCAAUAACUGUUUGGUAUUUGAUGCAGAUGAGAGAGCACGAGCUAAAGUAAAAUAUCUAACAGGUGAAAAAGGUGUGAGGAUUGAACUCAAUAAACCUUCAGAUUCAGUCAGUAAAGACGUCUUAUAGAGCCUUUGAUCCAGCAAUACCCCACUUCACCUACAAUAAUUGUUGACGCUAUUUGUUAAUUUGUGAAUACGAAUAAAUGGGAUAAAGAAAAAUAGACAACCAGUUCGCAUUUUAGUAAGGAAACAAACAACUUUGUGUGUUGCAUCAAACAGAAGAUUCUGACUGCUGUGACUUUGUACCGCAUGAUCAACUUAGAAUCUGUGAUUGCUUACAGGAAGAAGAUAAGCUACUAAUAGAAAAUGUUUUUACCUCUGGAUAUGAAAUAAGUGCCCUGUGUAGAAUUUUUUUCAUUCUUAUAUUUUGCCAGAUCUGUUACGUAGCUGAGUUAAUUUCAUCUCUACUUUUUUAAUAUAUGUCAAGUUUGAAUUGGAAUAAUUUUUCUAUGAUUAGGUACAAUUUAUCAAAACUGAAUUGAGAAAAAAUUACAGUAUUUCUCAAAAUAACGUCAAUCUAUUUUUGUAAACCUCUUCAUACUAUUAAAUUUUGCCCUAAAAGACCUCUUAAUAAUGAUUGUUGCCAGUGACUGAUUAAUUUUAUUUUACUUAAAAUAAGAAAAGGAGCACUUUAAUUACAACUGAAAAAUCAGAUUGUUUUGCAGUCCUUCCUAUCUUACACUAAUUUGAACUCUUAAAGAUUGCUGCUUUUUUUUGAUAUUGUCAAUAAUGAAACCCAAUUGUAAAACAGUCACCAUUUACUACCAGUAACUUUUAGUUAAUGUCUUACAAGGAAAAAGACACAAUAAGAAGAGUUUAAUUUUUUUUUUUUUUUUGA
ensembl:lncRNA novel transcript